UGGAUUUAUAAACUUUUUUUCAAUCUGCGCAUGCUCACCAGUACGUUUCGGUACGGUUGAACUGGAAAACUGGCUUUAGAGACGGGUGCAGACUAACGGGGGGAGUUACCAAAUCCUAAUUUUAGUGUCCAAAGGAAGAAUUAUUUAUAAAAAUCAUGAAUAUCUAUAAUUCUGCUUAAGAAGUUUAUAAUGGUUAAGAAUUUGG